CAAUGGUGGCCCUAAGAAAACCAAACAAGAAAUGGAGUCCUUUCCAACUGCUAUAGGAAGCAAAUUGAAGCCAUGUACAAAGUUUUUCAGUACUUCUGGGUGCCCAUUUGGUGAGGGAUGCCAUUUCCUGCAUUAUGUUCCCCUGGUGGCUACAAAGCUGCGUCUCAGAUGCUUAACCUUGGUGGCAAACAGUCUCUUCCACCACCAUCUAGAAAUGCACGAGUCCCACCAUCUUUUCCGGAUGGUUCAUCUCCUCCAGCUAUGAAGACCCGUUUGUGCAAUAAAUACAAUACAGCUGAAGCUUGUAAGUUUGGGGAUAAAUGCCAUUUUGCCCAUGGUGAGUGGGAGCUUGGGAAACCUACUGGGCCAUCCGUUGAAGAUCCUCGUUCAAUUGGUCCAGUUUCAGGUAGGAUGGGCCGUCAAAUCUAUCCUCCACAUCAGGGUUUUGGUGCUGCUUCCAGCUUUGGGGCCUCUGCCACUGCUAAGAUCAGUGUUGAUGCUUCACUUUCUGGAGCCGUCAUUGGGAAAAAUGGUGUAAACUCAAAGAAAAUUUGUCGCCUUACAGGGGCCAAACUUUCCAUAAGGGAGCAUGAGACUGACCCCAAUUUAAGGAAUAUUGAGUUUGAGGGUACAUUUAAUCAAAUCAAUCAAGCAACUGCCAUGGUUCGUGAGCUUAUUGGGAAUGUCAGUCACGCAUCUGGUCCUCCAAUGAGGAACCACGCUAUACAUUCUUCUGGCCCAGCAAACAACUUCAAAACUAAGCUGUGUGAGAACUAUGCUAAAGGAACUUGCACUUUUGGGGAUAGGUGCCGCUUUGCGCAUGGAGCUGAGGAAUUGCAAAAGUAAGGGAUAUGAACCUUCUCUUUCUCUCUCUCUCUCUUUCUUAUAAAAAAUGUUUUCUUCUUUAGGACACAUUCUUGUCGUAGCCUGUGGAUAUUUGAGGGGUCUGCCAAAUACUUUUGUAUGCAAAGAUUGCACAGAUAACAAUCUGUAAGAGCUUUUGAGUUAUUUUCUAUUGUGUAAAAGUUUAAUGAGUUGGACUAUUUGUGAUUUGGC
rnacentral:misc_RNA from 1 species